UCAUCCUCGUUAUUUAUAGCACCAAUUUUUCCUGUAAAGUCGACGUCUUCGUUUUCAUCAGCAGAAUUAACAUCAGAAUCAUCAAAUGCCCCUUCAUCUUCCUUAAUUAGUUCUUGAUUAAUAAGUCCAGUUGGUUGGCGACGGGUUUUACGGCCAACAUUAUCAAUUUCACUUGAUUCUCUAUCGACCGUAUCAAUAGCAUCUGAAUUGCUAAAAAGUUGUAAUCCACUAUUACCAUCGACUCCCAGAGGCUGUUGGGCUUCUUGAAGUUGCAUAACCAUACGCUCUCCAAAGCCAGCUUCAGAAUUUUCAUCUUUAGAAAAAUUUGAAGUUGGUACCUCAAUGUAAACCCUAUCUUUGUCAAACAAAAUACCACCAAUAUCGGCCAUAGGGCCAUAGAUUAAUUUUUGUUUUUCUGAUAGUCGCCGGCGACGGACUUUGUCGGCAUCGGGAGGCGGGCAAGGAUCUUCUAGGGAAGAAACAUCAGACGUUACAAAAUCACCAACACCAGGGAUAUGUACAGAGGCAUCGUGCUUAGGAAGAUUUGUGCCAUGCAAAUAACCAUAUAACGUGAUUUUCCGCCCAACUUUCGGAUUUUGUUCAAUGUCAACAGGCAAAGUAAGGUCUUCCAUACGAUCAGCUAGUAAAUAGGGAUGUUGGUUGCGCCAUCGCAAAGGCCUAAAUUUCAUGACACUUAUGAAUCGAGAUAAAUUGAGGAUUUCCCUAUCAGGAUAUCGUCCGUUCAAAACGCCGGACAAGUAGAACAAUUUAGCACCUUGAUAGAGUUCAGUCCAAAAUCUGUGUUUCAAACGUUUUUUAGCCUCUCGCAAUGUAGAAGUCUUCUUAAAUAAAUCGAGAUGUGUUAAUACACCCAUGAUGCGAGGCAUACCAUGCGGUGCUAAUAUGUUCAAAAACUCCAUAGUUUCCAUUUCGAAUCCAAAAUUCGCGUCAAUUAAAAGGAGAACAAGGUCUGCAAUCUUGGCUACGUCAAUCAUAGAGCUGAGAUCGUUAGGACACUCCAAAAACGUGAUUCUUCUCUUCUUUCCUGCAACCACCGUAAUCGGCCCAGUAAUCUGAGAAAUAGUGUAUUUAGAAU